rnacentral:rRNA from 1 species
AAUUCGCCCUUAGAGUUUGAUCCUGGCUCAGAUUGAACGCUGGCGGCAUGCCUUACACAUGCAAGUCGAACGGUAACGCGGGGCAACCUGGCGACGAGUGGCGAACGGGUGAGUAAUAUAUCGGAACGUGCCCAGUCGUGGGGGAUAACUGCUCGAAAGAGCAGCUAAUACCGCAUACGACCUGAGGGUGAAAGCGGGGGAUCUUCGGACCUCGCGCGAUUGGAGCGGCCGAUAUCAGAUUAGGUAGUUGGUGGGGUAAAGGCCUACCAAGCCGACGAUCUGUAGCUGGUCUGAGAGGACGACCAGCCACACUGGGACUGAAACACGGCCCAGACUCCUACGGGAGGCAGCAGUGGGGAAUUUUGGACAAUGGGGGCAACCCUGAUCCAGCCAUGCCGCGUGCGGGAAGAAGGCCUUCGGGUUGUAAACCCCUUUUGUCAAGGAAGAAAUCCUUUGGGCUAAUAACUCGGAGGG